rnacentral:lncRNA from 1 species
AUCUCCUUACCCCUUUUUCCCUUUUCCCGGGGCGUGGGCCCGUGGGUCCCCCAUUCCCUUCAUCACGGAACCGGGCCCGUAAACUGUUGACAGGGAACCUGGAUUCACACAGUUCAUAGUGAAGAGGACUCACAUUAUUUAAAAUCUACAACAACAGGCAUUUUAAGAGGAAGUAUAAAUGUACAUUUUUCUGGGAACAAAAUAAUCUAUAGCAGAUACAUGAAUCUUGAAGAUACCCUUUUUUGGUUCCCAAAGAAAAAGAGAAUGUUAGGACUGCCUGCCAGGAGGAAAGUACCUUCACAUGGCUCAGAGAAGAGGGAUCCACUUUCCUUCCUCCAAAAGGAGUUUUAAAUGGACACAGAAUAGACAGCCUGAUCUGCUGCUACUCCCGAGCUUCCUGUCCCCACUCCUGCCGCUGCCAACAUUACUGGGGACAGGAGAGGCUGUGGCAGGAUCAGUCACAUCAGCAGUGGUGAAAGAGGCCAGGGCAGCCUCUGUGCCAGUCUCUGGUUACCUGUUCUGCACCUUCCAGAGUAGGCCUCAUGCUCUGGAGAACUAAGCAGUUUGUAACACCAGUUUUGUCGUGUUUUGCUCUAAAUGUGUAAAAGCCAAUGGACUAAAUACAGUCUGCAUUUCCAGAACUUUUUCAAAAAGGAUAUUGAGCUUAUGUGUAGUAUUUCUUAUCCAUGUAUCUAUGAGAAUGUACAGAGGAAGACAAGUAGCAUUUACCCUGAACUACAGGUAGAUAACUUAGGCACCAGUAAAUUAAUUUGAUCAGUACUGGGUAAGCUGCCACCAUCAUGUGGAGGUACAACUCAGUGUCCUGCCAGUGCUUGCACCUUUGUAAGGGGAAUAGACAGUGGUGAACAACUAUUAUCAGUUACUCCCUUCCCACUAGCCCUCCUGGAGAGGAGGGAGACAGGCUGACACAAACGGGACCAGCAAUGGCAGGGUGACUUCAUCAGUAAAACUGUCCACAUGAUGUCAUUGUUCAGGGUACUCGUGCCCUAGGCUUGUUCUAUAGCUGGUUUUUUUUUUGUUGUUUAUUUGUUAGGUUUUUUCUUCCCAGACUUAGUUGGAAAAUUCCUCGGUUCAAGGGCCACAGCUCAAUGUAUUUGUGUAGCACUGUGCAUACA